rnacentral:rRNA from 1 species
UACGUAGGUGGCAAGCGUUGUCCGGAUUUACUGGGUGUAAAGGGCGUGUAGGCGGGAGAAUAAGUCAGAUGUGAAAUUCCAUGGCUCAACUGUGGCGCUGCAUCUGAAACUAUUUUUCUUGAGUGCUGGAGAGGAAAGCGGAAUUCCUAGUGUAGCGGUGAAAUGCGUAGAUAUUAGGAGGAACACCAGUGGCGAAGGCGGCUUUCUGGACAGUAACUGACGCUGAGGCGCGAAAGCGUGGGGAGCAAACAGG